rnacentral:rRNA from 1 species
UGCCCUAGUAACGGCGAGUGAAGCGGCAACAGCUCAAAUUUGAAAUCUGGCCUCCUUUGGGGGUCCGAGUUGUAAUUUGCAGAGGGUGCUUUGGCGUCGGCAGCGGUCUAAGUUCCUUGGAACAGGACAUCACAGAGGGUGAGAAUCCCGUACGUGGUCGCCUGCCUUCGCCGUGUAAAGCCCCUUCGACGAGUCGAGUUGUUUGGGAAUGCAGCUCUAAAUGGGAGGUAAAUUUCUUCUAAAGCUAAAUACUGGCCAGAGACCGAUAGCGCACAAGUAGAGUGAUCGAAAGAUGAAAAGCACUUUGGAAAGAGAGUCAAACAGCACGUGAAAUUGUUGAAAGGGAAGCGCUUGCAGCCAGACUUGCUCGCAGUUGCUCAUCUAGACUUUUGCCUAGAGCACUCUUCUGCGGGCAGGCCAGCAUCAGUUUGGGCGACCGGAUAAUAGCCUCUGUCACGUAUCUUCCUUCGGGAUGACCUUAUAGGGGAGGCAUAGUACGGCCAGCCUGGAUUGAGGUCCGCGCAUCUGCUAGGAUGCUGGCGUAAUGGCUGUAAGCGGCCCGUCUUGAAACACGGACCAAGGAGUCUAACAUCUAUGCGAGUGUUUGGGUGUCAAGCCCGGGCGCGUAAUGAAAGUGAACGGAGGUGGGAACCCUCUCGGGGGCGCACCAUCGACCGAUCCUGAUGUCUUCGGAUGGAUUUGAGUAAGAGCAUAGCUGUUGGGACCCGAAAGAUGGUGAACUAUGCUUGAAUAGGGUGAAGCCAGAGGAAACUCUGGUGGAGGCUCGCAGCGGUUCUGACGUGCAAAUCGAUCGUCAAAUUUGGGCAUAGGGGCGAAAGACUAAUCGAACUAUC